UAAUUGAAGAGUUUGAUCAUGGCUCAGAUUGAACGCUGGCGGCAGGCCUAACACAUGCAAGUCGAGCGGUAACAGGGGAAGCUUGCUUCUCGCUGACGAGCGGCGGACGGGUGAGUAAUGUAUGGGGAUCUGCCCGAUAGAGGGGGAUAACUACUGGAAACGGUAGCUAAUACCGCAUAAUCUCUCAGGAGCAAAGCAGGGGAACUUCGGUCCUUGCGCUAUCGGAUGAACCCAUAUGGGAUUAGCUAGUAGGUGAGGUAAUGGCUCACCUAGGCGACGAUCCCUAGCUGGUCUGAGAGGAUGAUCAGCCACACUGGGACUGAGACACGGCCCAGACUCCUACGGGAGGCAGCAGUGGGGAAUAUUGCACAAUGGGCGCAAGCCUGAUGCAGCCAUGCCGCGUGUAUGAAGAAGGCCCUAGGGUUGUAAAGUACUUUCAGUCGGGAGGAAGGCGUUGAUGCUAAUAUCAUCA
rnacentral:rRNA from 1 species